CAGAGUGUGCGUCGUCGGAACCGGGGAGCACAGCCUUGCCACCUGGAAGGGGCCUCAGCAGCCACACGAGGUCCCUUCCCUGUCUCCGGUCGGGACCGCACAGCCUGCGGGUGAGGAACAUCCCUGUGUCUGGCCACAGUGACCUUGUGAUGGCAGUGACAAGCGGAAGACAGUCCCCUUGUGCGUAGUAGCUUAUUCCCCACCCUCGAGUCCCGGGGUGUCUGUCUCCGGAUGUGCCGAAGUGCGAGCAAGCUUUGAUACAGGACAGCUCCGUGUCAAGGGGUUAGAGAGAGCCCCCUUCUUAUGGAUUGUGAUGUGGCUACAGAUCCCACAGUCAUGCCAUUGGGAUGAUCCAGCUAACUUAUCAAGAAAGCUUCAUCAGACUCUUGGAUUUGUUUAGAUUUCAUUCCCGCAGUAAGUACGUAGCAGGUCCUUACUCUGCUGGGCACCAGCUCAGGAGACCCCGGAAGCUGCCUGUGCCGCCCUGUCUAGUAGGGUGGAAAGCCAGCCCCCCGAGGACCUGGGCCACGGGGUCCAUCGGGUGAAACUGUGCACUGGACUAGGAGUCCGAAAACGUGCACCUGGCCCGGUGCCUACCACUCCCUCGGAAUUUCUGUUCCUGAACAGUGCUUUCACCUGCUCCUGCUUCGACGUCCUGUCUUUAUAGGACAAUGUAGGGACGUGAAUAGCAAUCCGGACGUAGCCUGCUGCUUGAGUCCGUGCAGCUGAAAUGACGUAUGGUCUGACGUUGGCCAGGGACGGCCGAUUCUCCCGUGUAAAUCCCAGCACCACGAAGUGCUAAUGGAUGAGCUCUUGUGUUAAGACCCUGCUGGCUCCUGGACGGAGGACCCUCCACCCCACUCCACCCCGAGCCUGGAGACUGGAGACUUGACCCCUGGUGGCGUCCUGAGUCGGGGAGAGGGCGAUGUUCUGAAGCAGGAGAAGGGACUGGAGGACUGUGGGCUCACCCCCAGCCAUGUCCUAGUUCUGAGACAAACCUGCCCAGACGCGCGGGACGCCUUCCCUGUGUCCCUGGCCGUGUGCUUGUGCGUGUCGCUGGCUCCCACUGCUGACGGAAGGCCACUCCUCCUUCCCUGGGCUGGACCGCAUGCCCGACCUGGCUGCUUGCCCAGCAGUUGCCCAGUUGGCUCUGCGAGAUGGGCUGGGUGUACCUCCAAGUCUGCGUGUCCUCAUCGGCCAGCCCAGGGCAGGACAGGUAGGGUCCUGUGGCGUGCCUGUGGAACUCAGGCAGCCUUCCAGGGCUGGAUCGCGGUGAUCGUCAGUGUUCGUUAAACCCGAAGAACCGGUCCACGCGGUGUCUCCGAGUCCUUGUCUCUGUGUAGGGCUUGACAAAGUUCAGAAGGGUUAUGCACAAGGCAGGAAGCAGGACGCGACUACUGUAAGCCCGCUGCUUCCCGCAAUGAAUGAGUCAGCGAGCUGAUGCCCACUGCAGUGACGUCACACACAGCAUUUGCGUGAAGAGGGGCCCCCGGCGGGUUUUCUAUGAGUUCACUGCCAGGAAACAGUCUUUGCUUCCUGUGGACCCUGGAGAAGCCACCAGACUCCACUGACAUGGCCCCAGCACUCCUGGCCUGGGAAUAACUCGUUGGCAUGUUGCCUCCAGUCUCCACCGUGAUCACGGGGCUGGGGCAGGGCUGGGACACUGCCCGGGGUCUGGUCAGGGAGCGCUGGUUGCUGCUAAUACGCCCCUUUGUCCUGAGUGUGGCCGUCAGGCAUUAAGAGAUGAACAAACCAAAUAAAUACCCCUUUGGUCAGGCACUGUUCCGUCCGUACCAGAUCACGGAAAAGAAGGACGUAAUCUCUGCCCCAACAUCCACCAGCUUGGGUGGGUCACCUGCGGUCUCCGGGUCUUGGUGCCCUCAUCAGUACAAUGGCACAAAAAAACCACACUGUGUAGAUAGCACUGUGAUUAGUAAAGACCGUGUCCACUGACCACCAGCCCGGUGCUCAGCGCGGGGUGGGUGAAUGGUAGCAA